CUUGUGGUUCUUAACUAACAUUUUGAUUUUGUCUACUAACAACCCACUCAUGGCCUUUACCUUGAUGUGGUGAGUGGGCUUCAAACCAAGACAGACUAUUCAUUUAUCAUUUAUUUAAAAUGCUCAGAUAACCACCUGUGUGUGUGUGCCCUUUCCCUCUCCCUUCUGCUGGUCUACUUACUGUAUGGUGUGACUGUCGCAGCUGCAACAUAACUAUUCAACACGAGUAGUAAUUGGACAUUCGGUGUGAAUUGAACUAUGAAUAUUGCUCCAGUGUUAAUGUUAUUGUGUGCCACUGGGUGUGCUGCGUUUUGAUAUAGUUUGUUAUAUGCAGGUGACCUUACUCGGAUGCAGCAUGUCAGCCCUACACACCUGGUUGCCUUUAUUUGGUUGAUAUCUUAUCUGCAAUAAGAAUGGAGGAAACAGAGACAAUGGUAGGAUGCCGCCCAGGAGGAAGCCCUGCAAAGGGAUUUUACCAUACUUUCUCAUUGGCGUGAUUGUCAUGUCCUCUCUCUCUCGCUCCUCUUCUCUCUGUCACUCCUCUCCUGUCUCUUCUGUCCUCUCUUCUCUGUCUCUUCGACAGCACAUGGCCUCGUGAUCAAGUUCAACGAAUGUGUGAAUGCCACAGACAAGUGAGCCUUCAACCCUCUCCACAAGGCAGCUCAGAAGGCUGAUGAUAUGUGCCCUGUUUAUGGACACUAUGCCCCCAGAUGCAGAGAAGAGGGAUCACCAGCUCAGCUCAUCAAACUGUCCAAUUUUUACAGGGGACAACAGACUUGAUCGAGGUCUUCACGGUCCAAAAAGCCUGGUAAAUGACCUGAUAAAUCCUACCCCCGCAAACCUAUGUGAACUUUUACGUUUGCGGCAUAUUUCAGAGAUAAAAUAACCAACAUUAGGUGGGUUAACAGUCAAGCAA
rnacentral:lncRNA from 1 species